AUGUUGUGUCAAUAUGAUAGAAUAUUUUCAGAUUUUUUUAAAUAUUAUACAGCAUCCGGUGUACCGGUAGCACGACAAGUAUUGCACCGGAUACGUUCCCCCACGCCCCAUCCCCUCCCUGCAUCUCCGCCGCCGCCGCCGCCCCCCAAUAUCCACCGCACGAGGGCUCGCCCACCCGCGCCGGCGACGCGCCUCCACCAUCCGCUCAUCCCAUCCUGGCUCCUCCGGCGUUGGACAUCGGCCGCGUCUACUCCACCGCUCCCUGCCCGCCCCCAAGAAGCCCCGCAGCUCUGCGUCCGCCGCCGCGGGCGGCAAGCCUCCCGUGAUCGUCUACUACCGCUGUCGCGCCCGCUCAAGCACGAGCUGCUCAGCCUGGGGUCUGCCCCGCCUGCAUUGGGCGCGGAUACAGACGGGGAGGAGUUGCUGGGGCGACGGCAGCCGAGGCGCAGAGGGGGAGUGCAGAAGGAGAGCACUUCGGCGCCCCGGAGGCGACGGCGCCGCAGCAGCCAGCUGGAGGCGGCCUCUCCAUCUGAGAGGAGAUGGGUAGAGUAA
rnacentral:rRNA from 1 species